rnacentral:rRNA from 1 species
AUACGUAGGUGGCAAGCGUUGUCCGGAAUUAUUGGGCGUAAAGCGCAUGUAGGCGGUGCCUUAAGUCUGUCGUGAAACUGCGGGGCCUAACCCCGUAUGGCGAUGGAAACUGUGGCACUUGAGUGCAGGAGAGGAAAGGGGAACUCCCAGUGUAGCGGUGAAAUGCGUAGAGAUUGGGAAGAACACCGGUGGCGAAGGCGCUUGUCUGGGCUCGGUCGGACGCUGAGAGGCGAAAGCCAGGGUGGGGAACGGGAGUAGAUACCCCGGUAGUCCGGGCCGUAAACGAGGGGAACUAGGUGUGGGAGGUGUCGACCCCUUCCGUGCCGGAGUGAACGCAAUAAGUGCCCCGCCUGGGGACUACGGCCGCAAGGCUUAAACUCAAAUGAAUUGGCGGGG